AACGAACGCUGGCGGCAUGCCUAACACAUGCAAGUCGAACGAGACCUUCGGGUCUAGUGGCGCACGGGUGCGUAACGCGUGGGAACCUGCCCUUAGGUUCGGAAUAACUCCCCGAAAGGGGUGCUAAUACCGGAUAAUGUCUUCGGACCAAAGAUUUAUCGCCUUUGGAUGGGCCCGCGUUGGAUUAGCUAGUUGGUAGGGUAAAAGCCUACCAAGGCGACGAUCCAUAGCUGGUCUGAGAGGAUGAUCAGCCACACUGGGACUGAGACACGGCCCAGACUCCUACGGGAGGCAGCAGUGGGGAAUAGUGGACAAUGGGCGAAAGCCUGAGCCAGCAAUGCCGCGUGAGUGAUGAAGGCCUUAGGGUUGUAAAGCUCUUUUACCCGGGAUGAUAAUGACAGUACCGGGAGAAUAAGCGCCGGCUAACUCCGUG
rnacentral:rRNA from 1 species